AUGGGAGCGCAGCGCCAUUUUCGGGGUCUACGAAUUAAAACAAACACACUGUUGGAACGACGACUACAAGAAAGAUGCUUAAAAGCAGCUCAAAAGAGAAUGGACUGUAUAGAGACCGAUUGCGUCCAGAGGCGAAGCGGCGGUACUUGCAGAAAAUAGCGUGCAUUGGAAAUGUGGACCCAUAUGAAACACAGCCGUGGAGUAGAAACCCUGAAGACCAACCGCUAUUGACGUAGCCUGACAUAUUUUCGUACCUUGUCUGUGGAGUCAGCGCGUACAAGUCGUCAUUCAAACAAAGGUCCUGCACUCUCAAAGACUGAAUGAACGAGCAUUACAGCCAUGGGUCACUGUGAGCAUCACAGCGAAGGUUGAAGCCGCCCACUGCACCUGUAAGGCCGGAGUCGUGGAGACCUGCACCCACGUCACUGCUCUUCUGUUUAAUGUAGAAGCAACAGUGUUGAUCUGUGGCACAGAACUGUUACAGAUGAACCUGCAUGCUGGGUUUUGCUGGGUAAUGUGACCAAGAUACAGUCAUAGGUUGGCCGUAAGAUAGACUUCUCCUCUUCAGCUGCCCAAAAAAAGGCUCUUGAUCAAAACAUAAACAGACCAUCCGUAGUGACAGGUAAAAGGAGCCGUCCUCAAAAAAGAAAAAUCCCACCUGCUACUGUGGAGGAGUUGUCACUGCUGGAGGAUACUUGGAUACUUUGCUGGAGCACAGUAAAGAUGUGGGUUGUGGGAAUGACCCAUAAUGUUUUAUCUAGGGGUCUAGAUUUAUGCCUGUAGUGCACUGCCAUGUAAAUAAUUUGCAUUUACUGAAUAUGUACUCACUGAGUACCACUGUUGGGAAAGAAUGAAAAGAUAAACCAUUUUCAAGCUUAUUCUCUUGCCGGUCGUGCGAUCGAACAUUGCAGCCGACCACACAGCAAAUACGAA